rnacentral:rRNA from 1 species
AUUGAACGCUGGCGGCAGGCCUAACACAUGCAAGUCGAACGAGUGGCGGACGGGUGAGUCAUGUCUGGGAAACUGCCUGAUGGAGGGGGAUAACUACUGGAAACGGUAGCUAAUACCGCAUACCAUCAGAUGUGCCCAGAUGGGGUUAGCUAGUUGGUGGGGUAACGGAUCACCAAGGAGUAUAUCCCUAGCUGGUCUGAGAGGAUGACCAGCCACACUGGAACUGUGACACGGUCCAGACUCCUACGGGAGGGAGCAGUGGGAAAUAUUGAACAAUGGGCGAAAGCCUGAUGCAGCCAUGCGGCGUGUAUGAAGAAGGCCUUCGGGUUGUAAAGUACUUGCAGCGGGGAGGCGUUACCCGCAGAAGAAGCACCGGCUAACACCGUGCCAGCAGCCGCGGUAAUAC